rnacentral:misc_RNA from 1 species
AAGUCGUAACAAGGUUUCCGUAGGUGAACCUGCGGAAGGAUCAUUAGUGAAUCUUCAAAGUCGGCUCGUCGGAUUGUGCUGGUGGAGACACAUGUGCACGUCUUGCGAGUCGCAAACCCACACACCUGUGCAUCUAUGACUCUGAGUGCCGCUUUGCAUGGCCUUGAUCGGCCUGGCGCUCGAGUACUUUUCACACUCCUGAAUGUGUAAUGGAAUGUCUUGUUGUGCGUAAUGUACAAAUCGAAACAACUUUCAACAACGGAUCUCUUGGCUCUC